rnacentral:rRNA from 1 species
GGACAGCGGCGAAAGGGAGAGGACAACAUAGGAAUCUGCCCUGGGGUCGGGGAUAGCGUCGGGAAACUGACGGUAAUACCCGAUAAUAUCCAAGGAUCAAAGGAGCAAUUUGCCCCGGGAUGAGCCUAUGCCCCAUUAGCUAGUUGGCGGUGUAAUGGACCACCAAGGCUGUGAUGGGUAGCUGGUGUGAGAGCACGACCAGCCUCACUGGCACUGAGACACUGGCCAGACACCUACGGGUGGCUGCAGUCGAGAAUCUUCGGCAAUGGACGAAAGUCUGACCGAGCGACGCCGCGUGUGGGAUGAAGGUCUUCGGAUUGUAAACCACUGUCGAGGGGGAUUAAGGGAAACUUGAAAGAACCCUGGAGGAAGGGGAGGCUAAGCUCGUGCCAGCAGCCGCGGUAAGACGAGCUCCCCAAACGUUAUUCGGUAUUACUGGGCUUAAAGAGUUCGUAGGCGGCGAAGUAGGUGAGGUGUGAAAGCCCUCGGCUCAACCGAGGAACUGCGCUUCAAACCACUUUGCUAGAGGGAGAUAGGGGUAAGCGGAACAGAUGGUGGAACGGUGAAAUGUAUUGAUAUCAUCUGGAACACCGGUGGCGAAAGCGGCUUACUGGGUCUUUUCUGACGCUGANGAACGAAAGCUAGGGUAGCGAACGGNAUUAGAUACCCCGGUAGUCCUANCCGUAAACGAUGAGCACUANUCUGANGGANUUUCACGGUUUCUCGNNCGUANNGAAAGUGUUNAGUGCUCCGCCNGGGNAGUAUGGUCGCANGCUGAAACUCNAAGGAAUNGNNNGGGGGCUCACNCAAGCGGUGGAGG